rnacentral:rRNA from 1 species
AGAGUUUGAUCCUGGCUCAGAUUGAACGCUGGCGGCAGGCCUAACACAUGCAAGUCGAGCGGUAGCACAGAGAGCUUGCUCUCGGGUGACGAGCGGCGGACGGGUGAGUAAUGUCUGGGAAACUGCCUGAUGGAGGGGGAUAACUACUGGAAACGGUAGCUAAUACCGCAUAAUGUCGCAAGACCAAAGUGGGGGACCUUCGGGCCUCAUGCCAUCAGAUGUGCCCAGAUGGGAUUAGCUAGUAGGUGGGGUAACGGCUCACCUAGGCGACGAUCCCUAGCUGGUCUGAGAGGAUGACCAGCCACACUGGAACUGAGACACGGUCCAGACUCCUACGGGAGGCAGCAGUGGGGAAUAUUGCACAAUGGGCGCAAGCCUGAUGCAGCCAUGCCGCGUGUGUGAAGAAGGCCUUCGGGUUGUAAAGCACUUUCAGCGGGGAGGAAGGCGUUAAGGUUAAUAACCUUGGCGAUUGACGUUACCCGCAGAAGAAGCACCGGCUAACUCCGUGCCAGCAGCCGCGGUAAUACGGAGGGUGCAAGCGUUAAUCGGAAUUACUGGGCGUAAAGCGCACGCAGGCGGUCUGUCAAGUCGGAUGUGAAAUCCCCGGGCUCAACCUGGGAACUGCAUUCGAAACUGGCAGGCUAGAGUCUUGUAGAGGGGGGUAGAAUUCCAGGUGUAGCGGUGAAAUGCGUAGAGAUCUGGAGGAAUACCGGUGGCGAAGGCGGCCCCCUGGACAAAGACUGACGCUCAGGUGCGAAAGCGUGGGGAGCAAACAGGAUUAGAUACCCUGGUAGUCCACGCCGUAAACGAUGUCGAUUUGGAGGUUGUGCCCUUGAGGCGUGGCUUCCGGAGCUAACGCGUUAAAUCGACCGCCUGGGGAGUACGGCCGCAAGGUAAACUCAAAUGAAUUGACGGGGGCCCGCACAAGCGGUGGAGCAUGUGGUUUAAUUCGAUGCAACGCGAAGAACCUUACCUGGUCUUGACAUCCACAGAACUUUCCAGAGAUGGAUUGGUGCCUUCGGGAACUGUGAGACAGGUGCUGCAUGGCUGUCGUCAGCUCGUGUUGUGAAAUGUUGGGUUAAGUCCCGCAACGAGCGCAACCCUUAUCCUUUGUUGCCAGCGGUCCGGCCGGGAACUCAAAGGAGACUGCCAGUGAUAAACUGGAGGAAGGUGGGGAUGACGUCAAGUCAUCAUGGCCCUUACGACCAGAGCUACACACGUGCUACAAUGGCAUAUACAAAGAGAAGCGACCUCGCGAGAGCAAGCGGACCUCAUAAAGUAUGUCGUAGUCCGGAUUGGAGUCUGCAACUCGACUCCAUGAAGUCGGAAUCGCUAGUAAUCGUAGAUCAGAAUGCUACGGUGAAUACGUUCCCGGGCCUUGUACACACCGCCCGUCACACCAUGGGAGUGGGUUGCAAAAGAAGUAGGUAGCUUAACCUUCGGGAGGGCGCUUACCACUUUGUGAUUCAUGACUGGGGUGAAGUCGUAACAAGGUAACCGUAGGGGAACCUGCGGCUGGAUCACCUCCUU